UUUUGAAUGCGAUACCCCGGGAACUGGGACUAAUCCGCAAUAGAUCAUUGUUUCUGGAAGGAGCUUUGAUCCAAAGGGAUGGGUAAGUAUGUUUAUCCAUUCGCCCCAGGAUGGGACUGCGGCCGAUCAGGUUGUUGGUGGGGUAUUGGCCCACCAAGCCUAUAACCGGUACGGGCUUUGAGAGAAGGAGCCCGGAGAUGGACACUGAGAAAAGGGUCCAGGUCCUACGGGGCGCAGCAGGCGCGAAACCUUCGCAAUGCGCGAAAGCGCGACGAGGUUACUCCGAGUGUUACCCGCUGAGGGUAACUUUUGCUAGGUAUAAAUAACCUUGAGAAUAAGGGGAGGGCAAGUCUGGUGUCAGCCGCCGCGGUAAUACCAGCUCCCCGAGUGGUCGGGAUGUUUAUUGGGCCUAAAGCAUCCGUAGCCGGUCUUGUAGGUCUUCUGUUAAAUCCAACGGCUCAACCGUUGGGCUGCAGGAGAUACCGCAGGACUAGGAGGCGGGAGAGGUGGAUGGUACUCAAUGUGUAGGGGUAAAAUCCUUUGAUCCAUUGAAGACCACCAGUGGCGAAGGCGGUCCACCAGAACGCGCUCGACGGUGAGGGAUGAAAGCUGGGGGAGCGAACCGGAUUAGAUACCCGGGUAGUCCCAGCUGUAAACGAUGCGAGCUAGGUGAUGGGGUGGCUACGAGCCAUCCCGGUGCCCCAGGGAAGCCGUUAAGCUCGCCGCCUGGGAAGUACGGCCGCAAGGCUGAAACUUAAAGGAAUUGGCGGGGGAGCAC
rnacentral:rRNA from 1 species